rnacentral:rRNA from 1 species
UACGAAGGGGGCUAGCGUUGCUCGGAAUCACUGGGCGUAAAGGGUGCGUAGGCGGGUCUUUAAGUCAGGGGGGAAAUCCUGGAGCUCAACUCCAGAACUGCCUUUGAUACUGAAGAUCUUGAGUUCGGGAGAGGUGAGUGGAACUGCGAAUGUAGAGGUGAAAUUCGUAGAUAUUCGCAAGAACACCAGUGGCGAAGGCGGCUCACUGGCCCGAUACUGACGCUGAGGCACGAAAGCGUGGGGAGCAAACAGG